AAGACCUUGCGCUUUUGGAGCGGCCGAUGUCUGAUUAGCUUGUUGGUGAGGUAAAAGCUUACCAAGGCUUCGAUCAGUAGCUGGUCUGAGAGGACGACCAGCCACACUGGGACUGAGACACGGCCCAGACUCCUACGGGAGGCAGCAGUGGGGAAUUUUGGACAAUGGGGGCAACCCUGAUCCAGCCAUGCCGCGUGAGUGAAGAAGGCCUUCGGGUUGUAAAGCUCUUUCAGCCGGAACGAAACGGUUACGGUUAAUACCCGUGACUACUGACGGUACCGGAAGAAGAAGCACCGGCUAACUACGUGCCAGCAGCCGCGGUAAUACGUGGGGUGCGAGCGUUAAUCGGAAUUACUGGGCGUAAAGCGUGCGCAGGUGGUUUUGUAAGUCAGAUGUGAAAUCCCCGGGCUCAACCUGGGAACU
rnacentral:rRNA from 1 species